rnacentral:misc_RNA from 1 species
UUUAAGUUAGGGUUCUCUUUCCAAUUGUGCCAUAGAAUUAAUAAUUAUAAUGAAAGCAUGUAAAUAUAUGAAAACAUAUAUUCAGAUAAGAAUAAAAGUGUUGUGUUAUAGUAUCUUGUUUUAAGAGUAAAGCAGGUGAGAUAUUGGAAAAGGAUAAAUUUUAAGAGUUGUCCUUGAAUUUGGUCAUAACAAAAAUAAUCCUGA